rnacentral:lncRNA from 1 species
GGUUCCCUGCUCAAGCUCUCUUCUCUUGUCUGCUGCCAUGUGAGACGUGCCUUUGACCUUCUGCCAUGAUUGUGAGGCCUCCCCAGCCACGUGAAACUGAACAGAAGAAAAGAUGAUCCUUUAUUGCCUCUAGAAAGAGGAGCCAAGCUCUGUCCUUCUAUUUACCCCACACCAGCCCUUUGAGAUCAGAUAUUGUCCCUAUGUUGCUGGUGAGGACGGGUGAACCUCCAAGGAAUUACGUGAUUUGCAGAGACCUGUGCAGCUGGUGAGUGAAAAAGCAGGAACUCAAACUCAGAUCUCUCUGACUUCUUCUAGAAGUCUCCAUUUCCUCAUCUGCAAAACGGGAACGUUAACUGGGGCGAGGCUUGCUACGUAUUGAAGAAUCCCACUGGGUUUGCUAGUGGAAAGUGCUGUAUUUAUGGAGCUCGCAACACCUUUCUCGGUAUCACUGAAAAUCGUCUGGUAGUUAAUGCCUAACGUUGUUGGGAAUAUUGAUGUGGGCAUUGAAUGGCUGAUAUCCAGGCUAUACAUUUUACUAAGUGGGUGGCCUUGGGAUGAUGAAUGAACUCUCUGUGCUCUUUAAAAUGGAGAUAUUGUUUCCUGUUUGGAUCUGUGUCAAUAAAGAAGGAAGAUAAUGCAGA